rnacentral:tRNA from 1 species
GCCUGGGUGGCUCAGUCGAUUAAGCUUCUGACUUGGGCUCAGGUCAUGAUCUCUUCAUUCGUGAGUUCGAGCCCCACAUCAGGCU